rnacentral:lncRNA from 1 species
AAAAAAAGUAUUCAAACAGGAUAUUAACCAUCUAAAUGAAUGUGUAAAAAUCAUAAACAUCAGAAAACAUGGCUUGUACACGGUUUCAUCUCCCAUAGUGCAGCAGUGCUUUGCGGGAGAAGUCCACCUCCUUCCAAAAAGAGAAUAUGGCAUAUUACUAGCAGUGCAAGUGAUCAAAAUGGAAUACAGAGCUGGAGGCUUGAUCAGAUCAGAGAAAGUACAACUUUUGUGAGCAAAGAGAACUUCAUAAGGAUUUUGAAGAAAUUCUCAGUUGUAUCCAAGAGAAGCAUCCAGAUGAGACAAGUGGCUUCACAAUCUCUUCUGUACUUAAUUUGAACAUUCACGUAAGUCCCCUUUUACAAGUCUUGUUUUAAUAGAUAGUAAAAUUGUUUUAGAAAAGUAAUAGAUGUAGAAACUCACUGAAUUUUCACUCUUUUCAGGAGCUCAGGAG